AACAGGAAGUGUCAAAGUGAAAUGUCAGAGAUAUCAACUGUCAAACUUAGUAUUUAAGGAAAUUAGACCUUUCAUACUUAAUCUUAAUAUGUGAGAAUGUGCCAUUUAUUUUUUUAAGAAAACAUUUUUUUGGGGAAAAGUAAAAUAAUUGCAAUAUCUGGCAUGUGACUAUUAAGUUUCACAUUGACUAUUUCAUUUCAGAAAUAGGUCCUUUUGAUGUUAUUUGUCUACCAUGGUGUUAAGUGGGCUAACCAAGCCGGACAUGGCCUCUAAUUAACAAUGGACAGCUGUUGAGAAUUCUAAUGAAUGAAUUUAACUAAAACUUAUCUCAGUAUGGAAUGUAGCUACAGAUACAUUCUUCCCAUGAAAAUACAUAUUUGAAAUAAUAAACAAUGAUAUCUCCUUUAUCAGUUGAAACUCAGCAUGCAAGAGACCCCAUCAUAUGACCUCUCUUAAAAACCUCUUUAUUCUUCAUCUGGCUCUCCCUCAAAUGAACUUAGGUUCAAGACCCAUUAAACACCUUAUGCAUCUUGCACAUGAACAUCUUUGCCUAUUUCAUACCUCCUGUGACUUGCAUAUAGUAUUCCUUCUGUUUCAAAAGUUCAUUUUUCCCAGAUACACCUGGCAAAUUUCUACAGAUUUUAAUUCUCAGAUUAAAACUCACUUUAUCCAUGAAGUUUUUCUGGAAAUUCCUGGGUUCAUGAGGGCAAGGACAAUAUCUUAUUUAACUUUAAAUUAAUUAGCAAAUUCUGGCAAAAAAACAGGUGCUUGGAAAAUGAAUGAAUAAUGAUUAGCCCAGCCUUGUAUCUCUGCAUGUUUUUCUUAAUGUACUUGGUUAGGAUAAUGGUAGCAAACUGUUACAUAAACUACCUUUCUCUAUUCAGAAUUUUGCACUAGUAGAGUCUGAAAUUUUUAAGAUCCAGCAGUCUUUGAGUUAUCCAAGUAAAAACAAGCAUGCAUCUGAACAACUCUUGACAGCUGAAAAAUGGUUUUUACAGGGAACUUAAAACAGCACAAAUGGUUUUUUUAAAAAGUAUUUUCUUGGAGCUGAGCUUUUUGUUUUGUUUUGUUUUGUUUUUGUUUUAUUUUUUUAAGUUUCAGGUAAUUUUCUAGAAGAGUUCUAAAUGAGUGGAGUUAAUGAGAAGAAAGGCCCAUUAUGUCAUCACUGGCUGUAGAAUACUUCCCAGAGUUGGACUUAUUUGAAGGGCAAAUUCCUUAGUGAAAAUCUCGCUCUUUAAGAUUUUCAUAUGAGGAGUUAUUUACAUAAGUAGGAUUUUCUAGGAUAUGGCCUGAGAAUAGUGCCUUGUCAACAUUAUCCAGCUAGCCUGACCUGUCAACAGCUCCCUGAAUGACAGACGAGAAACUGAGAGCUCAGAGAGUUUGUGGAACUUGCCUAAGAUCACAGAAUCAUAAAUGGUUGAGUCAGGACAAGCCCAGCUCUGUGUCUAGAGUGAAUGCUCUGGGCCAUUUAAACCACACUGGAGAUGUGAACAAGGUGACGAAUGGAAUGAAUAAGAGAAACCUACUUCACUCACUCUCAGGAUGGAAGAAAGAUGAGCAAAUGAAUGGAGAGCCUGCUUUGCCAUACUCUGCUAGAAGCUGCAUCUCAGGGCUAACGGUUAAUCUGUGAAUCUAUUGCUCUGCAACUCACAACAUUAAAAACAAUCUACAUGAUACAGAGGCAAUAUAGUAAAAAUGAAUAUUUCACUUAAUUUACUGUUUUAAUAUUGAACUACUUGUCACUAUUUUAAUAUACAAAGUCUAGAAUCAUCAAGGAUCUCAUAAAGGAAAGUUAAAAGCUACAAAUGGAAGCAACUGCAUUUUGGGCAAGCCACCAACAGAACACCACGCUUACGUGCAUGUUAGAUGUCAGGUUAGUACACUGACCAAAAGAGAUAACCUGAAAUUUGGAUUACCCUUUCCUCUAUCCCUAAAGCUUUGGGAAUUUAGAAAUAUUCUGGAUAAGAAUCAGUGAUAAUCCUUGGAAGCCAUUUUCACAUGUGGAAAACUACUCAUCUGCCAGGACUUUUGUGUUUGUCAUUUCGAAUUCUUGAACUUGGAAGUAGAUAUAAACAUUUUCUUCUCUUUCACUUUGGAGUUAGAAAAUAUGUGAUGCUUUCAUAUUACUGCUUUGAGUUACUGUGAAAAGAGUCAUAUAAUUUCAGAUCUUCAUCAGAGACAACUCAAAAAGUGGAGUGAUGUGUAGGGGGUGAAAAAAAGCAGCGCGGACUCUAAAAUCACAGACAUAUGUUUGAAUCCCAGCUCUGCCACAGGUGCUGUGUGAGGCUAGGUGCAUGGGUUUACUUUGUGAAGCCUCAUUUUUUCCAUAUGUAAAAUGGAAAUGAAAAUAUCUUCAUCAUUCAUAUUUAGGAAAACUAAAAUAAGAACACAUAUAUUUAUUAUAGUUAUUAAAAAUUUAUUAUUUCUAAGCCAAUGUCUUCAUUUUAUAAUGGAGAAUGUUGAAGUCAGAAACUGACACCCUGAAAGUCAAACAAAUUUAACCUAGGUUUGUGGAUGUCACUCUUGUUGUUUACAACAAUGCAAUAAUUUAAAUUGCAAAGGAUUUAUGAGUUAAGUUUUAAAUGUAGACAUUUUAUUUUACUUUCCACUGCAUGCUAUUUUCCCAGGAUACAACAACAACUGGUCAACCAAGGCCACAUGAAGCUCAUAAUAGUCCUGCAUAGUCCAGGAAGAAGAAAGAGUAAUUCAUUUGGUUUAUGAUCAAUCUUCAGUAAUGAAUUACCAGACGCAAGUCAGAUCUCUCAAUAGUUGGUGUUCAUGAACAUCUAGUUGGAUAUCUCUUCCCAGAUGGUAAUGAUUCAGAUAAUACUAAUGGUUAGUAUUUAGAUAUCAUAUGAUCAGAUUUCCUUUACAAAACACUGUGACACAUAUGUCCAUAGAAACUGUCAUUGUUACCAUAGAAUCAGGGUAAUGAUGCUAGAAGAUGGGACAAAGCUUGUUGACAGCUUUGCUUUACAGAUAAGGAAAUGGAAGGCAGGUGAAAUUAAGUGACUUUUUCUAGCUUACGCAGUUAUUAUAGUUAGUAUAUGGCAGUGCUGAGUUGAGAAACCAGGUAAGCAUCUGAUUUCUAUUUCUCUUAAAACUUACCACACUAUGUGGAAAUAAACUGUUCAUGAAUUUGUCUCUCCUUCUCUAGAGAAACCAGCUUGAGGUCCAGAGGCUAUGUCUUCAUCAUUCUGAAGCACAGGCACUUGCACACACUCAGUAAACAUUCUGUAAAUAUCUACUGUGUGAUCCAAGUAAUACAAAUAAGAAUAAAUAUAUUUAAAGAAAAACAUUUUUUCAAGAACCCAGAAUAUUUUCUCUUAUAUUAUUUUAUGAGUUAUGACUCCAAAUUUGUGGGAUAUUUUUUAUAACUGACACCUCAAAAACUUAAAAGCUGAAAGGGAGCCAUAAUUCAGAAUUGCUACCCAUGGAGAUGAUUGUUCACUUAUCCCAUCGAUGACAGGAUGACUCAGAAUCUUUUUAUGACUCUUCUAUUGAAAUUGACUUCAGUGUCUGUCCAUGAGGCACAUAAGAAAAAUCAAUCUCAUUAUUGUUCCACUCUGAUUUUUGACUCCAAACAGAAUUCAUAAGCUUUGCUCAUCCACCUUCUUUACUAAUCUUGUCUCUGAAUGAGUUUAGGUUGUUUCAAAAACCAAUUCACCUUGAAAAGAUAAAGACUUACCUCCCACUAAAAUUAUUCCUAAAAUUGCUUCGGCAUCACUUGGACAGAUGAGUAAAUCCCUCAAGGUGACUAAUAUGCAGGUGUCAGCAGACACUAAAAAUAUAUAAGCUUUGUCAUAUUUGUUUAAACAGAAAACAAGCCAUAUAAUUAAAUAUUUAUGUUUCUCUGAUGCCUGGGUAUUUGGUAUCAUCUGUUGAACUUGUAAAAAAUGAGCUCAAGGAAAAGUAAGUCACUAUCACAAGAUCUUUGCUGCAGUGGCAGCUCUAGGCCAGUGGUUUUCCAACCAGGGGCAAUUUUAUAACCCCCCUAGGGGUGGAAGUGGGGCAUUUGGCAAUGUCUGGAGACAUUUUUUACUGUCAUGAUUGAGGGGAAG